rnacentral:tRNA from 1 species
UCUGUUCUUUUAUCUGGCAUUGUUCAGGUGGGAGAUUGGGGCGGUGUAGCUCAGUGGUAGAGCAAGCGACUCAUA